AUACGUAUGUCGCAAGCGUUAUCCGGAUUUAUUGGGCGUAAAGCGCGUCUAGGCGGCUUAGUAAGUCUGAUGUGAAAAUGCGGGGCUCAACCCCGUAUUGCGUUGGAAACUGCUAAACUAGAGUACUGGAGAGGUAGGCGGAACUACAAGUGUAGAGGUGAAAUUCGUAGAUAUUUGUAGGAAUGCCGAUGGGGAAGCCAGCCUACUGGACAGAUACUGACGCUAAAGCGCGAAAGCGUGGGUAGCAAACAGGAUUAGAUACCCUGGUAGUCCACGCCGUAAACGAUGAUUACUAGGUGUUGGGGGUCGAACCUCAGCGCCCAAGCUAACGCGAUAAGUAAUCCGCCUGGGGAGUACGUCGGCAACGAUGAAACUCAAAUGAAUUGGCGGGG
rnacentral:rRNA from 1 species